GGGGAUGAAAGGCUUCGACGGGAGAGGCUGGCCCCGAAUUGCGAGCCGAGAGGCGCCGAACUCGAAAAAUCAGCGCACAAGAUAAGUGCCAACCGCACUUCGUAUGCUGCUCUUCCUCUCGCUGCAUAAGCGUUAGGGAAACAGCCGGCUCUCCAAGCAGGGCCGCGUCCGCCCACCCCGUUCUCUGGCCGGAGGUGGGGCCGGGCGUGACAAAGUCAGAGUGCCGCAUGCCACGCUGCUAAGCAUGCGAAAGAGGGGCUUUCGGGCCUCAGCGGCUGGUCCACCGUUCACCUGGCCGGUUGGGUGGCGGCCGACGAGAUGGAUAACUGGCUACGCUCGUAGACAUUCGCGGGACGAUUCUUUCGGACGCGGGUUCGAUUCCCGCCAUCUCCACCU
rnacentral:tmRNA from 1 species